rnacentral:rRNA from 1 species
UACGUAGGGGGCGAGCGUUGUCCGGAUUCAUUGGGCGUAAAGAGCUCGUAGGCGGCUUGGCAAGUCGGAUGUGAAAACUCCAGGCUCAACCUGGAGCCGCCAUUCGAUACUGCUAUGGCUAGAGUCCGGAAGAGGAGAGUGGAAUUCCUGGUGUAGCGGUGAAAUGCGCAGAUAUCAGGAAGAACACCAAUGGCGAGAGCAGCUCUCUGGGACGGUACUGACGCUGAGACGCGAAAGCGUGGGGAGCGAACAGG